CUCGGUCCAAUUCUCAGCGGAGGAGUUCUGGAGAGGCGGGGGGAGCUCCGCCGGAACGAUGCCUGCGCCGCCUGGGAAGCCCCCCGGCGGCGGGUUGUGCGCUCUUCUUCUUCCUCUUCGUCAGCGUGGUCGUCGUCGUCUUCAGCUUGCUCUCCCUUCUGGGCUCCGGGCAUGGAGGGCGAGCAUCCACCAGGCGACCCUCCACAGUGGAGAUGACGCCAGCGCCGCCGCCACCGCCGGAGAAAAAGAGCCGGGUGAUCAGAGAAAUGGCGGAGGAGCAGCCCUGAAAGAAGAGCACCAGGAAAGCGCCGCCGUGAGGCGGCUGAGCGAGCUACUCCGG
rnacentral:lncRNA from 1 species